rnacentral:rRNA from 3 species
UAGUGGCGAACGGGUGAGUAACACGUGGGCAAUCUGCCCUUCACUCUGGGACAAGCCCUGGAAACGGGGUCUAAUACCGGAUAACACUCUUCCCUGCAUGGGGGAGGGUUGAAAGCUCCGGCGGUGGAGGAUGAGCCCGCGGCCUAUCAGCUUGUUGGUGGGGUGAUGGCCUACCAAGGCGACGACGGGUAGCCGGCCUGAGAGGGCGACCGGCCACACUGGGACUGAGACACGGCCCAGACUCCUACGGGAGGCAGCAGUGGGGAAUAUUGCACAAUGGGCGGAAGCCUGAUGCAGCGACGCCGCGUGAGGGAUGACGGCCUUCGGGUUGUAAACCUCUUUCAGCAGGGAAGAAGCGUGAGUGACGGUACCUGCAGAAGAAGCGCCGGCUAACUACGUGCCAGCAGCCGCGGUAAUACGUAGGGCGCAAGCGUUGUCCGGAAUUAUUGGGCGUAAAGAGCUCGUAGGCGGCUUGUCGCGUCGGAUGUGAAAGCCCGGGGCUCAACCCCGGGUCUGCAUUCGAUACGGGCAGGCUGGAGUGUGGUAGGGGAGAUCGGAAUUCCU